GCCGCAGUGGUGGAACCGGUAGACACAGGAGACUUAAAAUCUCCCGGCUUAUGGCUGUGCCAGUUCAAGUCUGGCCUGCGGUACCA
rnacentral:tRNA from 1 species